GCCCAAGUGGUGGAACGGCAGACACGGGGGUUUUAAACGCCCUUGGCUCACGUCAUGCGGGUUCAAGUCCCGCCUUGGGUA
rnacentral:tRNA from 1 species